GGAUUAGAUACCCUGGUAGUCCACGCCGUAAACGAUGUCAACUAGCUGUCUGUGUUCUUGAAACGUGGGUAGCGUAGCUAACGCGCUAAGUUGACCGCCUGGGGAGUACGGCCGCAAGGUUAAAACUCAAAUGAAUUGACGGGGGCCCGCACAAGCGGUGGAGCAUGUGGUUUAAUUCGAUGCAACGCGAAGAACCUUACCAUCCCUUGACAUCCAGAGAAUUUACUAGAGAUAGUUUAGUGCCUUCGGGAACUCUGAGACAGGUGCUGCAUGGCUGUCGUCAGCUCGUGUUG
rnacentral:rRNA from 1 species